GACGUAGGGCGCGAGCGUUGUCCGGAUUUAUUGGGCGUAAAGGGCGCGUAGGCGGUGCGGUAAGUCACCUGUGAAACCUCUAGGCUCAACCUAGAGCCUGCAGGCGAAACUGCCGUGCUUGAGGGUGGGAGAGGUGCGUGGAAUUCCCGGUGUAGCGGUGAAAUGCGUAGAUAUUGGGAAGAACACCGGUGGCGAAGGCGGCGAGCUGGUCCAUUACUGACGCUGAGGCGCGACAGCGUGGGGAGCAAACAGG
rnacentral:rRNA from 1 species